CCUGAAGUGGGGGAUAACCAUUGGAAACGAUGGCUAAUACCGCAUAAUGCCUACGGGCCAAAGAGGGGGACCUUCGGGCCUCUCGCGUCAGGAUAUGCCUAGGUGGGAUUAGCUAGUUGGUGAGGUAAUGGCUCACCAAGGCGACGAUCCCUAGCUGGUCUGAGAGGAUGAUCAGCCACACUGGAACUGAGACACGGUCCAGACUCCUACGGGAGGCAGCAGUGGGGAAUAUUGCACAAUGGGCGCAAGCCUGAUGCAGCCAUGCCGCGUGUGUGAAGAAGGCCUUCGGGUUGUAAAGCACUUUCAGUCGUGAGGAAGGGUGGUAGUGUUAAUAGCACUAUCAUUUGACGUUAGCGACAGAAGAAGCACCGGCUAACUCCGUGCCAGCAGCCGCGGUAAUACGGAGGGUGCGAGCGUUAAUCGGAAUUACUGGGCGUAAAGCGCAUGCAGGUGGUUUGUUAAGUCAGAUGUGAAAGCCCGGGGCUCAACCUCGGAAUUGCAUUUGAAACUGGCAGACUAGAGUACUGUAGAGGGGGGUAGAAUUUCAGGUGUAGCGGUGAAAUGCGUAGAGAUCUGAAGGAAUACCGGUGGCGAAGGCGGCCCCCUGGACAGAUACUGACACUCAGAUGCGAAAGCGUGGGGAGCAAACAGGAUUAGAUACCCUGGCAGUCCACGCCGUAAACGAUGUCUACUUGGAGGUUGUGACCUUGAGUCGUGGCUUUCGGAGCUAACGCGUUAAGUAGACCGCCUGGGGAGUACGGUCGCAAGAUUAAAACUCAAAUGAAUUGACGGGGGCCCGCACAAGCGGUGGAGCAUGUGGUUUAAUUCGAUGCAACGCGAAGAACCUUACCUACUCUUGACAUCCAGAGAACUUUCCAGAGAUGGAUUGGUGCCUUCGGGAACUCUGAGACAGGUGCUGCAUGGCUGUCGUCAGCUCGUGUUGUGAAAUGUUGGGUUAAGUCCCGCAACAAGCGCAACCCUUAUCCUUGUUUGCCAGCGAGUAAUGUCGGGAACUCCAGGGAGACUGCCGGUGAUAAACCGGAGGAAGGUGGGGACGACGU
rnacentral:rRNA from 1 species